rnacentral:rRNA from 1 species
UACGUAGGGUGCGAGCGUUGUCCGGAAUUAUUGGGCGUAAAGAGCUCGUAGGCGGCUUGUCGCGUCGGAUGUGAAAGCCCGGGGCUUAACUCCGGGUCUGCAUUCGAUACGGGCAGGCUAGAGUUCGGUAGGGGAGAUCGGAAUUCCUGGUGUAGCGGUGAAAUGCGCAGAUAUCUGGAGGAACACCGGUGGCGAAGGCGGAUCUCUGGGCCGAUACUGACGCUGAGGAGCGAAAGCGUGGGGAGCGAACAGG